CCUACGGGGGGCUGCAGUGAGGAAUAUUGGUCAAUGGGCGCGAGCCUGAACCAGCCAAGUCGCGUGAGGGAAGACGGUCCUAUGGAUUGUAAACCUCUUUUGUCGGGGAGCAAAAGACGCCACGCGUGGCGUUCCGAGAGUACCCGAAGAAAAAGCAUCGGCAAACUCCGUGCCAGCAGCCGCGGUAAUACGGGGGAUGCGAGCGUUAUCCGGAUUUAUUGGGUUUAAAGGGUGCGCAGGCGGAAGAUCAAGUCAGCGGUAAAAUUUUGAGGCUCAACCUCUUCGAGCCGUUGAAACUGGUAUUCUUGAGUGAGUGUGAGGUAUGCGGAAUGCGUGGUGUAGCGGUGAAAUGCAUAGAUAUCACGCAGAACUCCGAUUGCGAAGGCAGCAUACCGGCGCUCAACUGACGCUCAUGCACGAAAGUGUGGGUAUCGAACAGGAUUAGAUACCCGGGUAGUC
rnacentral:rRNA from 1 species